rnacentral:lncRNA from 1 species
ACAGGACACUGAGCUUCUAUCAUGGCCGCAGCUAAGGAGAUGAAGCCACGUGCUGUUCCACAGGGCACCUGCUCAUCUGGUCAGGGUGGAGACACUGAUGAGAUGGUGUGGGUCGGGUUCCUAGACUCUCUUCCUGUCAUCGGCUCUGUUAAAAAGGCUGUGGAGUGGGUCCUGGCUCUGGGUGAAGGAGAUCCCAUGCUUGCUGCUGAGAAGCAGGAGAAGAUGAUGGUUGCACUGGGGCUGCAAAAGGAGACCAGUGGAAGAAGCUCUGCAAGAUCAUCUGGGUUCAGCUCAGCCGAUGAAGGGGAUGCAGGCGCGGACAUGGCGGGAACUGACGCUGCAGUUCAUGGUGUUCCACUCAUCAGCCUGACUUCUUACAUCGAGAACAUGGCGUCUAAAGGGAAGAAAGGAUCUGUGUCUCAAGAAGCCGGUCAACAGCAGAAGAAAAUGAUUGAAAUUAAAAACAUGAUAGAGGAGGCGUUUCACCGUAUAGAUCCAGACUACCAAAUUGACGAGAAGCUUCUUACAGACACUGGUGUACGUUCUCGAAGAGGAGAGCAUGUGAUCAACAACAAUGUUCUUAAAUUUCACACCAAAAUCCUGACAGAGAGAGGAAUCCAGCGUGAUGUGCAGUGUCCCCUGAAGAGAAGUAUUCAGAAUGAUAUCAUGUAUGAGAUGGUGGCAGAGUUUGAGCCAUACGAGCUGUACAUCAAUGUGAACGCUGUGAUUUAUGGAUUUUAUUGUGGUGUGUUAAGAAUCGCUCUGUGGAAGCUGCUGGAAACAACCAGUAAAAAAAAAACAGUGAAAUCCAACGCAGCAGUUCAGAACUGGAGGAUACAAAUGCUUAGAAGGACUGAAGAGGUGAACUGGAGAGAUGAGGCCGACUGUAUCAUUACUAACAUGAACGUCCACCAGGCUUAUGUGGAUCCUUUUGCGAAGGAGAAGUGGACUGGAAAUUCACGUGCCAAACUUAGAAAGUUUGAAGCUGCUAGAGAAAGUGUAGCGGUCAUGUACCAAGACAUACGCGGACCUGGUUACUUUGAGAAUCUGUCAGUUUCUGGUUAG